UUACGACCACAUCACGUUGAAAUAUUGGUUCCCAUACAAUCACCAACGUUAAGCAAUGCCAAGCCUGGUCAGUACCUUGAUGAGUGACUGCUUGGGAAUACCAGAUGCUGUAA